GGAAGAUCCAUCUCCCAGAGGAACCUGCCAGCUCUGCAAGAACACAGGAUGACUCAGAGACCUUCAUGUCCUCUGCAGUGGAUGUGGGCGGCCUUGUUGAGUCACAAGAGAGAGGUGCUGAACAGGAUCUUGUGAGAACGGUGUUUACAUGUGCAGACACCAGACAAGGUAAGUCAAUUGAAAAUAACAUGAUUUUUUCCUACAUGAAUAUAAAAUUGAAGCUGGAAAUUGUCAAUGUUACUAUAUUAAUAACAUUUACAGUAUAUUGCAAAUGCAUCGUAACACUUUAAUUAAACUCAGUAUUCGUACAGCAUUACAAAUACAUUUAUACAUAUUGAUUAAGUAUUCAUAAAACAUCAUAGUGUCUG
rnacentral:lncRNA from 1 species